UAAUUAUGCCAAAACUAUACCACUUACUAAAUUUUCUCUAAAUCUCAAAAGAGAUCAAUAUAAUUUACCAAAAAAAAUUCUUUCAAUUCUCUCUCUGUCUCUCUCUCUCUCUCUUCACAAAUCUAAAAUCAAACACAGCAGCCUAGGAGUUUCUUCAUCACCCCUUGGAAAGAAAUCCUAUAAAUAACCUAAACUUAUUCACUAGCAGUAACAUACAGAAGCUGCCUACAGCAAUAUAUAGUUAGAUCUGCCCCCCAAAAAUGACAGCACAAUUAUUUGCCUUGCUCUUCUUCUUCAUUGUUAUAGCCAAAGCUUUGCCAUUUCAUUCAUCCCAAAGCACUUUCACCUCCAAAACUAGGGGUUCUGAGCCUCCUGUCUUGCACCAAAAUCAACUGCAAAGUACAGAUAAUAUGAUUAUUGAAUCGAGUAGAGGACAAACAAACGGAGGAGGGCACGAAAUUGUCCGUGCAAAGAGAGGAGCAAAUGGUGGUUCCACUAUUCUUACACAGCCUCGGAACAAUCACAGUGGUGCAAGCCCCUCCUUACUGGUGAAGAAUCCAUUUCCAACACUGCUUGAGCAUGUUUCCACGGCCUUGCUUCUUUCUAUUUUCUUCUUUUGAUUCUCUCUCUCUCUGGUGUGUUUCAUUUGAUUCUCUCUCUGGUGUGUUGUUUGGAUCAUGGAUUCGUCUUUUUGAGGACCUGGGAAAUAAUAUUAAUAAAGAUAAUAAUAGUACAUCGUCAAGACUUCAAAGGGUCAUCCCAACCAAAUAACAAAACAAACAGACAACAAAAAAAAAAAUUCGCCAAAAAUAUUCAGGAAAAACAUCGAUUUGUUCAAAGAUGUGAUCUGGAAAGCAAGAUCUGCUUGAAAACUUGCCGUCCCCGUUGUUGCUACCCAACUCUUCCACCGUUGCCGCCGGAGAAGGAAGGACAUCCACAAUGGUAUGGAAAAAAGGUUGAGAGAGGAGGGAACUAUUGUGGAUGUUGAAAAAACCAAAAAUCUAUGCCGAAAUUGAGGAAAAAACACUCAAAACUCUUAUUUCGGACAUAAAAGUUCAGAUAUAUACUUUAAAAUUAUAAAUUUAUACUCUAAGAAUGUAGAUCUACACUUUGAAAGUGUAAAAAGAGUCGCCGAAAUGUCGUCGGAUAACCACUGGAGCAUUGCGGAAAUCUCUCAGAGAGAGAGAGACUCUCUCUCUGGGCUUACUGGCCUGCUGAGUCAUGGAUUUGUCAUAGGCCAAUAAAUGGGAAGCAAAAAGAAAAAAACUUCAACUUCAUACACUUUCUUUUCAUUUUCUUCUCUCUCAACAAAUUCAGGAUCCAGACACAAGAGCAAAUGACUAUUAUAUAACUAUUCAGGGGAAAAAACAUUGUUUAGAGAAUUUUUGAUGUAAUCUUGAAAUAAACUGGUCAUCAAUGUUGUCAUUGUUUUAUUAUAUUAUGUAAUAACUAUUGUGUGUUGCUUUAUUUAUAUAUGCUGUGUUCAUUUUUCUUCUUUUGAAAUUUUUAAUCUUAGCGCAUUGAUAAUGGUUUUAUUCUUAUCUUUCCACUACUUUGCCCACUUGAGAUGGAGGAUAACACAAUUUCACUAAAACCAAAACACAAAAAGCAAAGCAAAACAAAACAAAAAGAUUUUGAAAGAAACAAGCUUCAUAUGAAUCAUAUGAUUACAAAAUAAGAACAAUAAUUCUUAAUACCAACACAUCAGAAAACAAAACACGAAACAAUAAUUCCUAAUACAAUUUAAGAACACAAUAUACAGGCACAACACAAGAAAGAUUCCAGCUGUACCUUUGCUAAUCAAGCCCUUACGAAAUCUCUACAUACACAUUUGAAA